rnacentral:rRNA from 1 species
UACAGAGGGUGCGAGCGUUAAUCGGAAUUACUGGGCGUAAAGCGUGCGUAGACGGCUAUCUAAGUCGGGUGUGAAAGCCCCGGGCUCAACCUGGGAAUUGCAUUCGAGACUGAAUAGCUAGGGUGCGGUAGAGGGAAGCGGAAUUUCCGGUGUAGCGGUGAAAUGCGUAGAUAUCAGGAGGAACACCGGUGGCGAAGGCGGAUCUCUGGGCCGUAACUGACGCUGAGGAGCGAAAGCAUGGGGAGCGAACAGG